GCCCAGAUAGUGUAGCUGGUUCAUCACCUGACCCUGUCACGGUCAUAACCCGAGUUCGAAUCUCGGUCUGGGCG
rnacentral:tRNA from 1 species